GAAGGGCGCACGGUGAAUGCCUAGGCACUGGAAGCCGAUGAAGGACGUGACAAACGACGAAAUGCUUCGGGGAGCGGUAAGUACGCAGAGAUCCGGAGAUAUCCGAAUGGGGGAACCCGGCACCGCGAGGUGUCACCUUGAAUGUGAAUAGAUAGCAUUAAGGAGGAAGACGCAGUGAACUGAAACAUCUAAGUAGCUGCAGGAAGAGAAAGAAAGAUCGAUUUCCCAAGUAGCGGCGAGCGAACAGGAAAGAGCCCAAACCUAAUGGCUUGCCAUUAGGGGUAGAAGGACUGUAAA
rnacentral:rRNA from 12 species